GUUCUCUUAGUAUAAUAAGUACAGUUGACUUCCAAUCAACUAGCUCCAACAACAGAUCUGGAAAAGAACA
rnacentral:tRNA from 1 species